ACACCUCAACUCUCAUGGUUUGCCAUGAUGAGCUUGGACUUUGGGGGUCUUGCUGGCCUGCGGUCAGCUCCUCUCAAAUGAAUCAGCUUGCCAGUGUUUGGUGGCAUCACAGGUGUGAUAACUAUCUACGCUUGUGGUUUUCUACCAGGUAACCUUCAGCGAUGGAGGUUCGCUGGAGCUCAUAAAUGUCUCUCCCCAGUGAAGACAGCUUCGUGAAU
rnacentral:misc_RNA from 1 species